CACCCAUUCUGGACAAGGUGGGACAGACACCAGGAGUAAGAGGUCCACCUCAAGCUGGCUGGGCUGUAGGCCCUGCAGGGCUCUGACAGAGCAGUCAAGAUGAUGUGGUUACAUUGAUGCCUUGUAAAGCAGCACUACAGAAGAAAUAGCCUGUGGAAGCAAUGCCAGCCACAUAGGUGAGAAAAUGGAGGCAGGAAGAUGUCUGUCUUAGUCCAUUUGUGCUGCUGUGACACAAUACCACAGACUGGGUAAUUGACAAAGAACAAAGAUUUACUCUCACAGUUCUGGAGGAGGAGAAGUCCAAGAUUAAGGUGCCGGCAUCUGUGAGGAUGCUGCGCUCCUGCCCUGCGGAGGAUGCAGCAGAUAAGCACCAUCUUGGAGGAAGAGAAUGGCUGUACCAGACCAAACCUGCUGGUACCUUGACCUCAGACUUCCCAGCCUCCAGAACAAUAUAUCCUGAAAUUCUCUUCUGCAAUGAGUGUCACAAACCUACUAAAUUGGCUGAACUGAGGUCUGUUUGGGGAAAGACCUUGGGACCGCAUGUGGUGGCAUCCUUUGUGAGCCACCAGGAGGUAAACUGAGGAACUGAUUUUGAAACAACACUAUAAAUAGCCAGGAAGAGCGCUUAAGAAAGUGUCAGCAUGAAUAGUUGACUGUAAGCAACUUCCUUUCUGGAGAUAAAAAGAGAAAGGCUGAUUCCAGAGAAUUGGUGGUUUUCACCUUCCUUUGACUCGAUUUUUCAUGUGAGGAGCAGAGUCUUCAUAUGCUCCAGGUGGAAGCCUCCAUUCCCAUGGGGCAAAGGGACUUAGGCCAGGCAGCACAUCAGCAAUACCAGCAGAAGCUCUCCUGUCUCCAAGCGAGAGUCCCUCAAAGUAGCAGAGAUUCUUAGAUACAUAAUUAAAAACCGUGCCUUUUCUUAGUAAACAGGAUGGAACAGGAUGCUAACAUAAUUUCCAGAGCCAGCAUCUUUUCCAUCUGUUUUCCUAUCAUUUCUAGACCUAAGUGCCAAAAUUGCCUUUUCAAGGAAAAAAAGCUUACUCAAAGUUACCUUCUUCCUCUUUUCUAUUUAUUUCUUUCCUUUUCUAUUUUGCUUAUGUUCUAAAAUCCAUGUUCUGGCCUCAUUACUUCCCUAGUGAAAAAUUCUCACUAAAAGGCACUUAAAAUUUCAAACUCCUCGCGUGAUUUUCAAGGCCCUCCAUGAGUGACCCAAUCCCUUCCAAACUAUGUUCCCACUGAUACC
rnacentral:lncRNA from 1 species